rnacentral:rRNA from 1 species
AGUGAGGAAUAUUGGUCAAUGGCCUAACGGCUGAACCAGCAACUUGCAGGAAUGAGAGUUAAUAUAAAAGAUUUAUUAACUUGCUUGACUAGKUCUUAUAAAGUUCUGGAUAAAGCUGAUAAUGACAACUUUAUAUCCAUAGGUCUCGACUAAAUCUUGUGCCAGCAGUCGCGGUAAGACAAGGGAGACGAGUGUUAUUCAUCUUAAACAGGUAUAUUGGGUACCUAGACUGUGUAUGAAGGCUUUUAUAGUACCUACUACACUAGAGUUUAAUAUGUGAGAGGAAGAUGUCAGAAUUAUUGGAGUAGAGAUGAAAUCCUUUAAUACUAAUAGGACUGAUUAUGGCGAAGGCAAACCUCUAUGUAUAUGUACUUUAAACGAAGAAUUUAAUGAAAAUUAAAUAGGAUUUAUUAUUAUAAAAAUAUAGACAUACCUCUAUAUAGAUAAUAAAUGAGAGGUAAAGUACUAAACUGACGUUGAGGGACGAAGGCUCAGAGAGUGAAGAGGAUUAGAUACCCCCGUAGCCUGGGCAGACAAUGAUGAGUGCCAUAGGUUGGCUUUUAGUUGAACUAUAAAUGAAAGUGGAAGCACUCCACCUCAAGAGUAAUGUGGCAACGCAGGAACUGAAAUCAUUAGACCGUUUCUGAAACCAGUAGUGAAGUAUGUUAUUUAAUUCGAUGAUCCGCGAAUAACCUUACCACAAUUUGAAUGCUCUAAAUUAUAAUUUAAACACAACAAGGGCAUUAUGUUAAGAUAAUUAUCUUUUGUCCUUAUAGUGUUAUUUAGACCACAUGCGUUGCAUGGCUGUCUUCAGUUAAUGUCGUGAGAUUUGGUUAGGUCCAUUAAAUUAACGUAAACCCUUGUUUUAUUUAAUAUAAUAAGGCAGCUCUCCGCUUACAAUUGGAUUGAUAAAAGGGACUAAGACAAGUCAUCAUGGCCUUAAUAUUGUGGGCUAUAGACGUGCCACAUAUGCCUUUACAAAGGGAUGCAAUAAUGCGAAU